GCCUUGAUGGGUUAUGGAUGUGGACUGGUGUUGGGAUUAUCCAUUGGAUAUAUUGUAUUCACAACAAGAAAACCGCAAUGGUUUGUAAGGAAGAUUGAAAGAGUAAGUCUGAGAAACAUGAGGAGAGUUGAAAAAAGGCCUCCAAGAAGAAGAAAUUAGAGAAUUCCACCUCCUUUCUCCAACAAAAGAAAUGAUUGGACUUGACGAAGGAAUAUCCACAGCAAAUUUGGUGCAUGAGACAUGAUAUUUUAAUGAUUGCAUUUCACUAUUUUGUUAUUAUGUAACUUAUGUUAUUUGAAAUGAUGAAUUUUAUUUAUAAUUUUCAGAUUGGGAAUAGUAGUUGUAGAAGAUGUGAUUUUUUUAAGCAAACUGCAGGGUGUAUGUGUGAAUUUUGUGAACUACCAGGGGUGUACUGUAAUUUUUUCAGGGUAUAUUUGUCAUUUUUAAAUUAAUAGGUGUAAUUUAAUUCUCCUACGUACCGGGGACCAGAACGGAACCUGCAUUUCAAGUUCCAGUUCCAGGAACCGACCGAUUCUGAUUCCCAUUCCCAGCAAUUUCGGUAGGUAUCUGAAACUGCUCACCCUCUUUUUUAUAUUAUAUUCACAACAGGAAAACUACUAUGGUUUGUAAUGAUGGUUGAAAGAAUAAGGUUUAGAAACAUGAGAAGAGUGAACAGAAAUCAUCCAAGAAGAAGACAUUUGAGAGUUAAAGCUAGUGCUGCUCUCUAUAAGAGCAAGGAGGAUAGCCGGUUGUGUCUACAUGGUCUAGUUAUCAUCUUCAAGCCAUCGAUUUUCUUCCAUUCUCUGUGGACAAGUAAUUCGUAUGUUAUUUUUGGGUUGUGAAGUAAUUCAAGUAGAUGGUAAGCUAAUAUAUUUUUCACACGCUUUAGAU